GAUCAAAAUAGCCUCAAAAAACUUAAUUUUCUGAAAAAUAGCCCCUUCAUUUGGAAGGGGACCAAACUAGCAUUACUCUAAAUAUCUCCUCGUUUCUUUCAGCCAAUAUCUCUCUUUUUGUCCGAUGCAGAAUCAUUAUCCUUCGCCGAUCUCUCUCUUUCAAAGAUCCCUUUUGUCGACCUCGUUCAGCAUAUUAAAUCUCGAAGCUCUCAUUCACGGGUGGACGCGCGGCUGCUUUGGCGUUACAUUUCGGUGAGGAUCUAGCUCGUGUCCCAUUUGAGCAAGUUGUAUCAACUCUGCACAACCUUUGUUAGAAUAUUUGUGCAGUCACACAAGGAAAACAGCAAGCAAGUUGAAUUUGAGAAGAAAGCACCGUAAGGAAGCAGAUAACGAGAAAUUUAAGAACGAUGUGUGCAAUGAGAACUGAAACACAACAGCAUACACAAAUGUUCUUGUUCCCUACUCCCUCUCGACCUCCUUGAGUUGCAUUUGGUAGUCCUGGGAACCGGAAACUACAUGUUGCGACUCUUAGUUCUGUGAUUUUACCCAUUAUUUUGACAUCAAAUUUUCCAUUUAGUUCAUCAACAAAGACAAGCCUGUGGCUUUGGAUAUAGUAUUUUUAGAUUAGAAGGAAAAAGAAGAAUCUUUGUUCCUCUAGUAGGUUACAAUAUCAGCAUCCAGCGAUUAGCUUAUAAAGAAGAAGUGAAGACUCAGGUUUCUGAUUUGAUGGAAAUAAUAUUAGAAAGAUUUAUGCCGGAGCUUUUGAGUCACUGGAUGGUUUAAUUCAUAAAUAGAAAUGUAACUUCUUUUGUAUAAUGCUUUGGGAGGUAUACGGAGAUGUGUAAAUAUAGUGUGAGUGUGUGUGUUUUGUGUUUUAUCAACAUUUACGAUGUUACUUUAAGAAGUUAUAGACACUUCUUGGUUAGAAUGCGUGCAAAACGUC